AAAAAAAAAAAAAAAAAAAAAAAAUCUUCAAACUACUUUGAGCAUACAAAUGUUUGGCUCAUGGGAAAGUGCUUCAGAGGCUUUUUAACCUUCAGAGGCUGUGCUGGAGAGAAGCUGAUGAGGCCUCUCUGCAGACAGGCACCGAUCCCCUGACCCCCAGCUUUGCUGGAUAGUGAGCCUCAGAAACUCCAGCUCAUGCCUUCCUGGCUGGCUUCUGUGAGCCCUGAGUCUAGCGGAGCUGCACCCUUCCCCACCUACCUGAGGAUAUUCUAAACCACUCAAGAAGGGCAGGAGCAGUGGGUGAUUAGAAGCCAAUUAAAGAUACAGCCCAGCUCCUCACCAUCUUACCUAUUACCACCUGUGCAAAGAUCACCUGCUGGCACAGGGGUGGGGGGAGGGGGUGGACUAGGAGGGCAAUUUCCGGUUACUGCCCCAGAGAGGGGGCUGUGGCUGUCUUGCCGCCUGUGCCUGGCAGAGGAGGCCAGUGACAGGAGCCACGUCUUAGGGCAAUGACCAGGUGAGGGCUUCAGGCCACCUUGGGGCCCUGAAUCUGGAAUCAAGAGACACGGAGAAUGAGGACCUGUUGUGGGGUCCUCUGUGGACUGAAAACUUUUCUUCACAGCCAGAAAAAUUGCCAGUCGGGAGGGAGAGCGCACUUCGUCUUGGGCCCAACCUCUCUUUGUUCCUGCCCUUCCGGAGUGGCUGGGUGUUCUGCAGCACAGACCUCAGUUCUACCAGGCUGUGAUCUGCCAGCGUUUUAUGAGAGCUGACGUCACACCAGGAAGGAGGCACCCAUAGCAUCUGCAAAUGCAGGGGCUCAAGCUGUGGAUCUUGGCGUUCCACCCAGCCUCCACCAAAUAGCCCCAAAGCCAUGUCCACAUACCUCUCAACUUUACUCCCAAACUCUAGCAAAUCAACGGGAAAUGAGAUCAGAGACAGUGGUGGGGCCAAGUCUGCUGCAAGCAGCUGAAGCUGGUCGACCCUUUCUGAGGGCGCUCCCACCAGCCUCUACACAGAGUCCUUUCUCAGAGCUGAGCAACAUGGGACUGCUAAGUACCAGGACCAUCCGAAGAACCAAAAUGAGUGAUCCAAGCAGCACCUGCAGCAUAUGGACGAACUUAGCUAAGAUGACCCGGGGAGCGUAUCCUCAGCAAAGGGCCAAACCGGAGGAAGUUCCUAGGCGAGGGUCAAAUCGG